rnacentral:tRNA from 1 species
GCCCCUGUAGCGCAAUCGGACAGCGCACCGGUUUCCGGAACCGGAGGAUGUAGGUUCGAAUCCUGCCAGGGGCG